ACAUGGAUUGUGUAUGUGUGCCAUUCAGAAGGUGAACGGGCAAGACAAAAUAUUUAAGUGCCUUUUGAACGGGGUACGGUAGUAGGUGACAGGCACACCGGCUUUUAACGCUCAACAAGCCAAAAUUGACACAACUGUGGGAAGCAUUGGAGUCAACAUGGGACAGCAUCCCUGUGGAACGCUUUCUACACCUUGUAGAGUCCAUGUCCCUGGUGAGUGGUCGUGAAGUGUUUGAGUUCCGGUUGACGACGAUGAGGCAGAUGAUACCAAGGGCGAUGAUGGUGAUGAGGUACAUUUACUGUUAGAUGGGAUGACAGAUUCAACUAAAUACCAAAGUGGAGGCUGAAGACUUCCUGGACAUUAAUGUGGUUUAUUCCUAAAGGAUGCUGGGAUCACAGGGGCGUCAGCAGACCGGGUCGUUGCCAGACCUCGGCCCACUAAGGACACAGAUGGUGAUGCACAGCCUUGCUGUUUCUACAGGAUGUCUGUCUGUCCGACAUGGUGAUGCACAGCCUGGCUGUUUCUACAGGAUGUCUGUCUGUCCGACAUGGUGAUGCACAGCCUGGCUGUUUCUACAGGAUGUCUGUCCGUCCGACAUGGUGAUGCACAGCCUGGCUGUUUCUACAGGAUGUCUGUCCGUCCGACAUGGUGGCUGUUUCUACAGGAUGUCUGUCCGUCCGACAUGGUGAUGCACAGCCUGGCUGUUUCUACAGGACGUCUGUCCGUCCGACAUGGUGAUGCACAGCUUGUCUAACUGUUUCUACAGGACGUCUGUCCGUCCGACAUGGUGAUGCACAGCCUGGCUGUUUCUACAGGACGUCUGUCCGUCCGACAUGGUGAUGCACAGCCUGGCUGUUUCUACAGGACGUCUGUCCGUCCGACAUGGUGAUGCACAGCCUGGCUGUUUCUACAGGACGUCUGUCCGUCCGACAUGGUGAUGCACAGCCUGGCUGUUUCUACAGGAUGUCUGUCCGUCCGACAUGGUGAUGCACAGCCUGGCUGUUUCUACAGGAUGUCUGUCCGUCCGACAUGGUGAUGCACAGCCUGGCUGUUUCUACAGGAUGUCUGUCCGUCCGACAUGACAAACUGAGAGGGGGCUUGUGGUGGAGGAGAACAGAAUGAACGGAGAGUGGGACACGGAGGGGGACACGGAGGAUGUCCCUGUAGACGAGAACCUGUUCACUGGAGAUUAUCUGGACGAGGAGGAGCUCGACACGCUGGAUCUGGACCAACAAGACAAGGGCUGGAUCGUCUCGUUUUUUAAUUGAAUCAAAUAGAAAUUGGCUCGUUUUGAAUCGAAUCAACUUAUUUGUGUUGAAUUGUCUCUUGAGUUUGGGCGGCUCAUUCCAUGGACAAAAGGCUUAAAAGUGAAUGAUGAUGUUGCACAAUUAACAAUAACAACCUCGCCCUGGGAAUCUCACAGCCCUCUUUGUUCCUCGGCCUCCAAAAGACAAAGAUCCUUUCUCCAGCAGAACAAUCAGAGGACUAAAUGUUGACAACUUUACAAACUCUUGUUUUCCUCCUUUUAAAAAAUGCAUGUUUUAUUUUAAAAUGCGUCUGACUGUCUGCCACCCAGUUAAUAACAGGAGAUUAUCACUCUUAUUUGAUGUGCUGAUCUGCCCUGUCUUUUCCUUCAUACGGCUUUCAUUUAAACCUGAUCAGGAGUCAGUGGGAAUGUUUUCUAAAUUAAAUAUUUAUUGGGUUGGUUAUAUUGAUUAAUUAAUUCAUGUAAAACAAGGUAUUUUACUCCUUGUGAUUUUGAUUCGCUGUUCAUAAGUUGAUUUUGAUUCGCUGUUCAUAAGUUGAUUUUGAUUCGCUGUUCAUAAGUUGAUUUUGAUUCGCUGUUCAUAAGUUGGAAUCACGGCCUAAAUAGUUGACUAAGUGUUUUAUAAAUACUGGCUUUUCUGACUGCUUCUUUUAAAUGUAUAUCGGUUGCACUAUUCAUCUGGAAUUAUUUGGUAAAUACUGAACUUCCUCCCCUUUUUAAAUACAAAGAAAG